rnacentral:rRNA from 1 species
GUCCAGACUCCUACGGGAGGCAGCAGUGAGGAAUAUUGGUCAAUGGGUGGAAGCCUGAACCAGCCAAGUCGCGUGAGGGAAUAAGGCCCUACGGGUCGUAAACCUCUUUUGCCGGGGAGCAAGGGCGGGGACGUGUCCCGGCCCGGAGAGUACCCGGAGAAAAAGCAUCGGCUAACUCCGUGCCAGCAGCCGCGGUAAUACGGAGGAUGCGAGCGUUAUCCGGAUUUAUUGGGUUUAAAGGGAGCGUAGAUGGGUUGUUAAGUCAGUUGUGAAAGUUUGCGGCUCAACCGUAAAAUUGCAAUUGAUACUGGCAGUCUUGAGUACAGUUGAGGUAAGCGGAAUUCGUGGUGUAGCGGUGAAAUGCUUAGAUAUCACGAAGAACCCCGAUUGCGAAGGCAGCGCACCGGCGCCCUACUGACGCUCAGGCACGAAAGCGUGGGUAUCGAACAGGAUUAGAUACCCGCGUAUC